rnacentral:rRNA from 1 species
GACUUGCCCGCGGACGCCCUGGGGGACAUCAUGGAGCGGCUGCCGCCCAACGCGCGCUGCCCUCUUCGCCUCGUCUGCCGGCACUGGCGCGACGUCGUCGACCAACUCUCGGCUAUGGGCUUGCGCAGCCGCCCCAAGAUCCUCGCCUUCGGCCCCGAGGGCUUCGCGUGCGUCGGCGACGUCGUCCUGCCGCCGGAGGGCGGCGGAGAACCGUUGUGGUCGACGGACCACUCCAUGCCUGCAAUCUACGGUUCCAUGAGCAUGGUCGGCACCUGCAACGGCCUCGUGUGCCUGUGCGAUGACCGGGAGCCCGGCGGCGCCGUCAUGCUGGCCAACCCGUCGACCGGCCAAUCGCUCGCCGUCCCGCCGCUGCCGCUGUCCGACGCCGCCGUCCGGCUGCUGUGGAACAGCACCUGCACCAUGACGUGGCACCAGACGUACAUCUUGGCGCGGCACCCUACGACGGGGCGGUACGAGGUCGUGCACGUCCCGCGCCACUUCGACCGGUACUGGGAGCCCAGCACGGUGCACGUGUUCACGCUGGGGGAGGCGUCGUGGCGGGACGUGCAGGCCGGCCCCGACGCCAGGUGCGUCCACGGCGCCUACCGCCUCGCCGACGUCGACGGCACGGUGUACUGGGUCGCGGAGACGGAGGACGCCGCGAAGAUCAUGUCGUUCGACCUUGAAGACGAGAGCGUCGCGCCCACCGAGCCUCUGCCCGUGCCAGCCCAACCGGGCGACUGUCGCCUGACGAAGGUGCACGGGAGGCUGGGCGUUGCCAUCAGCGGCGACGACUCGCUCACACUAUGGGUCCUCGAGGACGAGCGGUGGUGUCCCCGGUACGUCGUGGAGGCGCACAGGCUGCGGCAGCAGCAGCCGUGGCUGAGGCGGGACCUCGUGGUGCCGCACUUCGCUCACGGCGACCACAUCCUCGCUCAUCGAGACCGCAAGAUGUACGGGCACAAGGUGAGUGAAGCGGCGAGGUUGCACGACGGUGUGGUGCAGAUCAGAGACAACAAGGACCUCGACGAGGAAAUACUUUCUCUCCCGUGUCUUAUUGACCGGAUGUUUGCCUACGUCGAGACCAAGGAGCCCUUGAAUGUUUACAAAGAGGCA